rnacentral:rRNA from 1 species
UACGGAGGGUGCAAGCGUUGCUCGGAAUUAUUGGGCGUAAAGGGCAGGUAGGUGGUCUCGUUUGUCUAGGGUGAAAGCCUUGAGCUUAACUCAAGAAGUGCCCUAGAAACGGCGAGACUAGAGUUCUGGAGAGGGUCGUGGAAUUCCCAGUGUAGCGGUGAAAUGCGUAGAGAUUGGGAGGAACACCAGAGGCGAAAGCGGCGACCUGGACAGAUACUGACACUCAACUGCGAAAGCGUGGGGAGCAAACAGGG